rnacentral:lncRNA from 1 species
CUUCUCCAUCAACAUCUCCAAAACAUGUCAACUCUCCACCCUCUUCUUCUGCUGAUGAAAGUACUCAUCAUACUACAUCAUCUUCAUCUGAACAAGAAAAGGAAAAACUUGUUAACAAGUCUGAGCCAAUUCCACAAGAAACUGAAGUUGAGUCUGAGUUGAAGGUGAAGGCGAAUUCACCGUUAAGAGAAAUCACCAAGUUACCGAAAGAAAACAUUUGGCAAACAUCAUCUACCUCUGAAGAAGAAAAAGAGAAGAUGUCAGUGUCUAAUCUGAUGCCAAAUGAAGUAGAACCAAAGAUGAAAUCACCGUUGAAAAGCAACCCUAUGUCACGACCAGAGAAUCUGUUUAAGCACACAACAACAAAUUUAGAUGAGGAAAGAUCAAUCUCACUGGAAGAAAACACUUGGCAAACAUCAUCUACCUCUCAAGAAGAAAAAGAAAAGAUGUCAAUGUCUAAUCCAAUGUCAAAUGAAGCAGAACCAAAGAUAAAGUCACCGUUGAAAAUUAACCCCAUGUUACAACCAGAGAAUCUGUUUAAGCACACAACAACAAAU